GACGAACGCUGGCGGCGUGCUUAACACAUGCAAGUCGAACGGACAGGCCCUGCUUUUGCGGGGUGCUCGAGAGCGGAAGGGGGGAGUAACACGUGUGUAACCUGCCCCUGUCUUUGUGAGAUCACUACGAAACUGGGGCGAUAACAGGGUAGAAUCUCCUGCUGCGUGUGGUGCGUUGGUAAGUGUCGGCGGUUGGGGAUAGUCUCGCUGCUUAUCCGCUUGUUGGUGGGGUAGUGGCGUACCAAGGCUACGACGGGUAGGCGGCCUGGGCGGGUGACCGGCCACAUUACGCCUGAGAUACGGCCCAGACUCCUACCGGACGCAACAGGGGGAAAUAUUACACAAUAGGCGGAAGCCUGAUGCAACAACGCCGCGUGCGGGAUGACGGCCUUCGGGUUGUAAACCACUUUCGCCUGUGACGAAGAGGGAUUGACGGUACUGGGUAAAGAAGCACCGGCUAACUACGUG
rnacentral:rRNA from 1 species